GAUGAAGAACGCAGCGAAAUGCGAUAAGUAAUGUGAAUUGCAGAAUUCAGUGAAUCAUCGAAUCUUUGAACGCACAUUGCGCCUGCCAGCACUCUGGCGGGCAUGCCUGUUCGAGCGUCAUUUCAACCAUCAAGCCCCCAGGGGCUUGUGCUGGGGCCCUGCGGCUGCCCGCAGGCCCUGAAAACCAGUGGCGGGCUCGCUAGUCACACCGAGCGCAGUAGCACAUCUCGCUCAGGGCGUGCGGCGGGCUCCUGCCGUGAAACCCCCCACUGUAACCCCAAAGGUUGACCUCGGAUCAGGUAGGAAUACCCGCUGAACUUAAGCAUAUCAAUAAGCGGAGGA
rnacentral:misc_RNA from 1 species